UGAGGAAUAUUGGUCAAUGGACGCAAGUCUGAACCAGCCAUGCCGCGUGCAGGAUGGCGGUCCUAUGGAUUGUAAACUGCUUUUGUACAGGAAGAAACACUCCUUCGUGAAGGAACUUGACGGUACUGUAAGAAUAAGGAUCGGCUAACUCCGUGCCAGCAGCCGCGGUAAUACGGAGGAUCCAAGCGUUAUCCGGAAUCAUUGGGUUUAAAGGGUCCGUAGGCGGUUUAGUAAGUCAGUGGUGAAAGCCCAUCGCUCAACGGUGGAACGGCCAUUGAUACUGCUAGACUUGAAUUACUAGGAAGUAACUAGAAUAUGUAGUGUAGCGGUGAAAUGCUUAGAGAUUACAUGGAAUACCAAUUGCGAAGGCAGGUUACUACUAGUUUAUUGACGCUGAUGGACGAAAGCGUGGGUAGCGAACAGGAUUAGAUACCCUGUAGUCACGCCGUAAACGAUGGAUACUAGCUGUUGGGGGCAACUUCAGUGGCUAAGACG
rnacentral:rRNA from 1 species